rnacentral:rRNA from 1 species
CGUGAACUCGUUUUCGCAUCUCCCUGCUGCAAAGAUUGGAACGGUCGAACAUUUUGAAUGGGACUCUUCGGAGUCACGGUCGACCCCAUAUACAAUUUUUGUAGUCAGGCAAAUUCUUAUUAAUUCAAGCUCCAUUCAUGCUUGAAUUUUUAGGAGCUAACAAUUAACAAAUUUCACCCCCUUUUUGCUAGUUGACUUUUUUAUGUGGUGUUCUGAAAAUUUAUUUUCAAAGCUCACACGUUUAAUUAAUUGAACGUUAAAAAUACAACUCUUAGCAAUGGAUAUCUUGGUUCUCGCAACGAUGAAGAACGCAGCGAAAUGCGAUACGUAAUGCGAAUUGCAGAAUUCAGUGAAUCAUCAAAUCUUUGAACGCAAAUUGCGCUCUUGGGUAGCCCUAGGAGCACGCCUCUCUCAGUAUCGGUUCAACAACCUCUCAGCAGCGUAUGCAAAUACGUGUUGGCUGGAAAAUGAGAGUCUGUAAAAUUUAUUUUUCAGUCUCUUGAAAUAUAUGGAGUGAGUGUAUAGACUAAUCAGCUUGAGCCUUCGGGUUUAAUAGUGGAUUCUGACUGUCGCACUUAAGUGACGUGAAUACUGGCCUUUAUGGUCUCCCUUUA